rnacentral:rRNA from 1 species
CGAGCGAACGGACGAGAAGCUUGCUUCUCUGAUGUUAGCGGCGGACGGGUGAGUAACACGUGGAUAACCUACCUAUAAGACUGGGAUAACUUCGGGAAACCGGAGCUAAUACCGGAUAAUAUUUUGAACCGCAUGGUUCAAAAGUGAAAGACGGUCUUGCUGUCACUUAUAGAUGGAUCCGCGCUGCAUUAGCUAGUUGGUAAGGUAACGGCUUACCAAGGCAACGAUGCAUAGCCGACCUGAGAGGGUGAUCGGCCACACUGGAACUGAGACACGGUCCAGACUCCUACGGGAGGCAGCAGUAGGGAAUCUUCCGCAAUGGGCGAAAGCCUGACGGAGCAACGCCGCGUGAGUGAUGAAGGUCUUCGGAUCGUAAAACUCUGUUAUUAGGGAAGAACAUAUGUGUAAGUAACUGUGCACAUCUUGACGGUACCUAAUCAGAAAGCCACGGCUAACUACGUGCCAGCAGCCGCGGUAAUACGUAGGUGGCAAGCGUUAUCCGGAAUUAUUGGGCGUAAAGCGCGCGUAGGCGGUUUUUUAAGUCUGAUGUGAAAGCCCACGGCUCAACCGUGGAGGGUCAUUGGAAACUGGAAAACUUGAGUGCAGAAGAGGAAAGUGGAAUUCCAUGUGUAGCGGUGAAAUGCGCAGAGAUAUGGAGGAACACCAGUGGCGAAGGCGACUUUCUG